CUGCGACUGAUGACAGGUGGUGUUUACAUUUAUGAUUUCCUUAUUUUUUCUGCUUGGGAAUGGAAUCAAAGAGAAGAAAGAUCAAACAACAGUUGUAGCCCUGGACAGCAUUUAUGGCAUCUUUCCUGGACAUGUGAAAUACACUUGCAGAACAACCAUCCUGCUCGUUGAUGAAAUGAGAUCCUUCAGGGGCAGAAACAAGGAGGCUGGGGCAAGAGGGCAAUGCUUUGGUCAGUAGUUCUUGGAACUGGCCCACUCUGGGGCUUCAUCCUCUUAAGACCAAGGAGAGGGAUACAAGGCUGUCAUUCCCAGGACUUCUGCACAGUGAGACCAUCAGAAGGGCUUCCAUGCUGACUGGCCCUGAGCUAACAUGCGUGCCCAUCAUCCUCUACUUUAUACAUGGGACGCCUACCACAGUAUGGCUUGCCAAGCGGUG
rnacentral:lncRNA from 1 species